UACAGAGGGUGCAAACGUUGCUCGGAAUUAUUGGGCGUAAAGCGCGUGCAGGCGGCCUGUUAAGUCGACUGUGAAAGCCCUUGGCUCAACCAAGGAAGUGCAGUCGAAACUGGCAGGCUUGAGUCCCGAAGAGGGUGGCGGAAUGCCAAGUGUAGAGGUGAAAUUCGUAGAUAUUUGGUAGAACACCAGUGGCGAAGGCGGCCACCUGGGAGGCGACUGACGCUGAGACGCGAAAGCGUGGGGAGCGAACAGG
rnacentral:rRNA from 1 species